AAAAACAAAAUCCAGUACAAAGAUACAGAGAAUCAUUAAUUCCCUAAAACAUACAAUGCCAAACAAAGAAGUGUCAUGACCCAAAUGCCCUCCACAAGGAGUGUAAAGGAUCAAGUUUAACCUUGCAUAUGUUGGACACAAUUAUUGAAGAUACAGGUGGGAUGUUACCUUAGAGAUCCUCUACUUCAUCCUUCCGGCCUGUGAAAGAAUCUGCCACUGUAAAAUCCUCAAGAGACAAUCAUCCAGCCUCCCUUUAACCUUCAGGAAAGGGGAGUUCAAUAAAAUGCUGUUUUCAAACCAAAAAUAAAGUGAGCUGCAAGAUAAAAUAAA